rnacentral:rRNA from 1 species
AUUGAACGCUGGCGGCAUGCUUUACACACGCAAGUCGAACGGUAACAGGCCGCAAGGUGCUGACGAGUGGCGAACGGGUGAGUAAUGCAUCGGAACGUGCCCAGUCGUGGGGGAUAACUACUCGAAAGAGUAGCUAAUACCGCAUACGAUCUAUGGAUGAAAGCGGGGGACCGUAAGGCCUCGCGCGAUUGGAGCGGCCGAUGUCAGAUUAGGUAGUUGGUGGGGUAAAGGCUCACCAAGCCAACGAUCUGUAGCUGGUCUGAGAGGACGACCAGCCACACUGGGACUGAGACACGGCCCAGACUCCUACGGGAGGCAGCAGUGGGGAAUUUUGGACAAUGGGCGCAAGCCUGAUCCAGCAAUGCCGCGUGCAGGAAGAAGGCCUUCGGGUUGUAAACUGCUUUUGUACGGAACGAAACGGCUCUGGUUAAUACCCGGGGCUAAUGACGGUACCGUAAGAAUAAGCACCGGCUAACUACGUG